rnacentral:rRNA from 1 species
UACGUAGAAGACUAGUGUUAUUCAUCUUUAAUAGGUUUAAAGGGUACCUAGACGGUAUAAUUAGUCUUAAACAGGAUACGAUUAUACUAGAGUUAUAUAUGAGGAGGUGAGUAUUUAUGCAGUAGAGUUGAAAUUCGUUGAUAGCAUAACGACUGGUAACGGCGAAAGCAACCUUUUAUCUAAUAACUGACGUUGAGGGACGAAGGCCUCGGGUAACGAACAGG